rnacentral:rRNA from 1 species
CCCUUAGAUGUUCUGGGCCGCACGCGCGCUACACUGACGAAGUCAGCGAGCAUGUCCUACGCCGACAGGUGCGGGGAAUCUUGUCAAACUUCGUCGUGAUGGGGAUUGAUUUUUUAAAUUCUUGAUCAUAAACGAGGAAUUCCUAGUAAGCGCAAGUCAGCAGCUUGCGUUGAUUACGUCCCUGCCCUUUGUACACACCGCCCGUCGCUACUACCGAUUGAAUGGUUUAGUGAGAUCUUCGGAUUGGCGCCACUGCAGCUCAGCAAUGGGCUUGGUGGAUGCCGAAAAGUUGAUCAAACUUGAUCAUUUAGAGGAAGUAAAAGUCGUAACA